rnacentral:lncRNA from 1 species
AAAUAAAUACCGUUAUCAUCUUUAAAGUAAAUAUGAAGUAAAAUUUAGUUCCUCUAUUUUAGUGCCUCGCUUUUGUAGCUGUAGCCUAUGCAGCAAACGAUGCAAAACCAAAACGUAGUCUUUUGUAUGAUACAUCUUACUUAGCUCCUGGUCUUAGCACUUACGUAAGCCCAGCUCAGGCUCAGACUCAUGAAUACCGCACCAUCAACCAACACGUAGGAGUAAUCGUACCUCAACCUUACCCAGUAACAAUCGAGAAGAAAGUUGCUCAACCAGUUCCAUAUGCAGUUGAAGUACCAAAACCAUACGCCGUACCCGUUCAAGUGAAUGUUCCGGUUGAAGUGCCAAGGGCAGUACCAAUUAAUGUAAUCCAACCAGUACCUGUCCACGUAAAAGAACAUGUACCUGUAGAAGUACCAAAGCCUUACGCUGUCGAAGUUACAAAGGCUGUACCUGUCGAAGUAGUGAAGCCUAUUUUAGUUAAGG